GUGAACGAGCGACGCCGCGUGCGGGAUGAAGGCCUUCGGGUCGUAAACUGCUGUCACACGUUAUGAAACUGCACGAACUAACACUUCGUGCCCUGACAAAGGCGUGAAAGGAAGCCACGGCUAACUUCGUGCCAGCAGCCGCGGUAAGACGAAGGUGGCUAGCGUUGCUCGGAAUUACUGGGCAUAAAGCGCGCGUAGGUGGUCUCGCAAGCGAGGGAUGAAAUCCCAUGGCUCACCCAUGGAACUGUCUCUCGGACUGCGAGGCUUGAGGGCGGGAGGGGAGAGUGGAAUUCCCGGUGUAGCGGUGAAAUGCGUAGAUAUCGGGAGGAACGCCGGUGGCGAAAGCGACUCUCUGGCCCGUUUCUGACACUGAGGCGCGAAAGCUAGGGGAGCAAACAGGAUUAGAUACCCUGGUAGUCCUAGCUGUAAACGAU
rnacentral:rRNA from 1 species